ACGGGAGGCAGCAGUGGGGGAUAUUGCACAAUGGGGGAAACCCUGAUGCAGCGACGCCGCGUGAGUGAAGAAGUAUUUCGGUAUGUAAAGCUCUAUCAGCAGGAAAGAUAAUGACGGUACCUGACUAAGGAGCCCCGGCUAACUACGUGCCAGCAGCCGCGGUAAUACGUAGGGGCAAGCGUUAUCCGGAUUUACUGGGUGUAAAGGGAGCGUAGACGGUUUUGCAAGUCUGAAGUGAAAGCCCGGGGCUCAACCCCGGGACUGCUUUGGAAACUGUAGAACUAGAGUGCAGGAGAGGUAAGUGGAAUUCCUAGUGUAGCGGUGAAAUGCGUAGAUAUUAGGAGGAACACCGGUGGCGAAGGCGGCUUACUGGACUGUAACUGACGUUGAGGCUCGAAAGCGUGGGGAGCAAACAGGAUUAGAUACCCUGGUA
rnacentral:rRNA from 1 species